rnacentral:rRNA from 1 species
CACUCCUACGGGAGGCAGCAGUGGGGAAUUUUGGACAAUGGGCGAAAGCCUGAUCCAGCAAUGCCGCGUGAGUGAAGAAGGCCUUCGGGUUGUAAAGCUCUUUUGUCAGGGAAGAAACGGUGAGAGCUAAUAUCUUUUGCUAAUGACGGUACCUGAAGAAUAAGCACCGGCUAACUACGUGCCAGCAGCCGCGGUAAUACGUAGGGUGCAAGCGUUAAUCGGAAUUACUGGGCGUAAAGCGUGCGCAGGCGGUUUUGUAAGUCUGAUGUGAAAUCCCCGGGCUCAACCUGGGAAUUGCAUUGGAGACUGCAAGGCUAGAAUCUGGCAGAGGGGGGUAGAAUUCCACGUGUAGCAGUGAAAUGCGUAGAUAUGUGGAGGAACACCGAUGGCGAAGGUAGCCCCCUGGGUCAAGAUUGACGCUCAUGCACGAAAGCGUGGGGAGCAAACAGGAUUAGAAACCCCAGUAGUCCCUGAU